rnacentral:rRNA from 1 species
AUUGAACGCUGGCGGCAGGCCUAACACAUGCAAGUCGAACGAGUGGCGGACGGGUGAGUAAUGUCUGGGAAACUGCCUGAUGGAGGGGGAUAACUACUGGAAACGGUAGCUAAUACCGCAUACCAUCGGAUGUGCCCAGAUGGGAUUAGCUAGUCGGUGGGGUAACGGCGCACCUAGGCGACGAUCCCUAGCUGGUCUGAGAGGAUGACCAGCCACACUGGAACUGAGACACGGUCCAGACGCCUACGUGAGGCAGCAGUGGGGAAUAUUGCACAAUGGGCGAAAGCCUGAUGCAGCCAGGCCGCGUGUGGGAAGAAGGCCUUCGGGUUGUAAAGCACUGUCAGCGGGGAGGCGUUACCCGCAGAAGAAGCACCGGCUAACUCCGUGCCAGCAGCCGCGGUAAUAC